rnacentral:rRNA from 1 species
GACGAACGCUGGCGGCGUGCCUAAUACAUGCAAGUUGAGCGCUGAAGGUUGGUACUUGUACCAACUGGAUGAGCAGCGAACGGGUGAGUAACGCGUGGGGAAUCUGCCUUUGAGCGGGGGACAACAUUUGGAAACGAAUGCUAAUACCGCAUAAAAACUUUAAACACAAGUUUUAAGUUUGAAAGAUGCAAUUGCAUCACUCAAAGAUGAUCCCGCGUUGUAUUAGCUAGUUGGUGAGGUAAAGGCGCACCAAGGCGAUGAUACAUAGCCGAACUGAGAGGGUGAUCGGCCACAUUGGGAAUGGGACACGGCCCAAAAUCCCACGGGAGGCAGCAGUAGGGAAUCUUCGGCAAUGGAGGAAAGUCUUACCGAGCAACGCCGCGUGAGUGAAGAAGGUUUUCGGAUCGUAAAACUCUGUUGGUAGAGAAGAACGUUGGUGGGAGUGGAAAGCUCAUCAAGUGACGGUAACUACCCAGAAAGGGACGGCUAACUACGUG